rnacentral:rRNA from 1 species
AAAUGCAAGUCGAGGGGUAUUUAUCUUCGGAUAGAGAGACCGGCGCACGGGUGCGUAACGCGUAUGCAAUCUACCUUUUACAGAGGGAUAGCCCAGAGAAAUUUGGAUUAAUACCUCAUAGUAUAUAGACUUGGCAUCAAGAUUAUAUUAAAGUCACAACGGUAAAAGAUGAGCAUGCGUCCCAUUAGCUAGUUGGUAAGGUAACGGCUUACCAAGGCUACGAUGGGUAGGGGUCCUGAGAGGGAGAUCCCCCACACUGGUACUGAGACACGGACCAGACUCCUACGGGAGGCAGCAGUGAGGAAUAUUGGACAAUGGGCGCAAGCCUGAUCCAGCCAUGCCGCGUGCAGGAUGACGGUCCUAUGGAUUGUAAACUGCUUUUAUACGAGAAGAAACACUACUUCGUGAAGUAGCUUGACGGUAUCGUAAGAAUAAGGAUCGGCUAACUCCGUGCCAGCAGCCGCGGUAAUACGGAGGAUCCAAGCGUUAUCCGGAAUCAUUGGGUUUAAAGGGUCCGUAGGCGGUUUAAUAAGUCAGUGGUGAAAGCCCAUCGCUCAACGGUGGAACGGCCAUUGAUACUGUUAGACUUGAAUUAUUAGGAAGUAACUAGAAUAUGUAGUGUAGCGGUGAAAUGCUUAGAGAUUACAUGGAAUACCAAUUGCGAAGGCAGGUUACUACUAAUUGAUUGACGCUGAUGGACGAAAGCGUGGGUAGCGAACAGGAUUAGAUACCCUGGUAGUCCACGCCGUAAACGAUGGAUACUAGCU